rnacentral:misc_RNA from 1 species
GAAAUGCGAUAAUUAAUGUGAAUUGCAGAAUUCAGUGAAUCAUCGAGUCUUUGAACGCACAUUGCGCCCCCUGGUAUUCCGGGGGGCAUGCCUGUCCGAGCGUCAUUGCUGCCCUCAAGCACGGCUUGUGUGUUGGGCUUCCGUCCCUGGCAACGGGGACGGGCCCAAAAGGCAGUGGCGGCACCAUGUCUGGUCCUCGAGCGUAUGGGGCUUUGUCAACCGCUCCCGUAGGUCCAGCUGGCAGCUAGCCUCGCAACCAAUCUUUUUAACCAGGUUGACCUCGGAUCAGGUAGGGAUACCCGCUGAACUUAAGC